UACAGAGGUCCCGAGCGUUGUUCGGAUUCAUUGGGCGUAAAGGGUGCGUAGGCGGCGGGGCAAGUCUGAUGUGAAAUCCCGGAGCUCAACUCCGGAACUGCAUUGGAUACUGCCUUGCUAGAGUACUGGAGAGGGAACUGGAAUUUACGGUGUAGCAGUGAAAUGCGUAGAGAUCGUAAGGAAGGCCAGUGGCGAAGGCGAGUUCCUGGACAGUAACUGACGCUGAGGCACGAAGGCCAGGGGAGCAAACGGG
rnacentral:rRNA from 1 species